rnacentral:rRNA from 1 species
CGCAUCUGUGCAUGCAGCAUAUCAAUAAGCGGAGGAAAAGAAACUAACAAGGAUUCCCUUAGUAACGGCGAGUGAAGCGGGAAGAGCUCAAAUUUGAAAUCUUCGAGGUUUUACCUUGACGAAUUGUAGUUUAAAGAAGUGUUUUCUGUUGAAGUUUUGGUAAAAGUUCUUUGGAAUAGGACAUCAUAGAGGGUGAGAAUCCCGUAUUUGACCAUUAUUUUCAGCUGUGUGAUACACUUUCAAAGAGUCGGAUUGUUUGGGAAUGCAGUCCAAAAUGGGUGGUAAAUUUCAUCUAAAGCUAAAUAUUGGCGAGAGACCGAUAGCGAACAAGUACCGUGAGGGAAAGAUGAAAAGAACUUUGAAAAGAGAGUUAAACAGUACGUGAAAUUGUCAAAAGGGAAGCGUUUGACACCAGUGUUGUUUUCUCGAAAAUCAAUUAAAAAGAGUUAGAUUUUGUUGUGUAUUGACCUUAACAGCUUGCAUUUCAAUUUUCUUGCUUUUUUUAAUGCACUUUUCGUUUAACAAGUCAACAUCAGUUUCUUUUGUUGUAAAAAGGUCAUUGGAAGGUGGCUUUCUUUUCGGAGAAAGUGUUUAUAGCCUUUGACUCCUGCAAUCGGAGAGACUGAGGUCUGCAGCGUAGAUCCUUCGGGGUUAGAUACAUUUGUGCUAAGUUAUAGCUUUUUAUAGACAACUUGUUGACUAUGAUUAGUCUUGUAGCUUACUCGCUUAUGCUAUUUUACCUACGCUUAGGAUGUUGAAGACUCUACAGAGAUA